CCUACGGGAUGCAGCAGUGGGGAAUAUUGCACAAUGGGCGCAAGCCUGAUGCAGCCAUGCCGCGUGUAUGAAGAAGGCCUUCGGGUUGUAAAGUACUUUCAGCGGGGAGAAAGGUGUUGUGGUUAAUAACCGCAGCAAUUGAUGUUACCCGCAGAAGAAGCACCGGCUAACUCCGUGCCAGCAGCCGCGGUAAUACGGAGGGUGCAAGCGUUAAUCGGAAUUACUGGGCGUAAAGCGCACGCAGGCGGUCUGUCAAGUCGGAUGUGAAAUCCCCGGGCUCAACCUGGGAACUGCAUUCGAAACUGGCAGGCUAGAGUCUUGUAGAGGGGGGUAGAAUUCCAGGUGUAGCGGUGAAAUGCGUAGAGAUCUGGAGGAAUACCGGUGGCGAAGGCGGCCCCCUGGACAAAGACUGACGCUCAGGUGCGAAAGCGUGGGGAGCAAACAGGAUUAGAUACCCUCGUAGUC
rnacentral:rRNA from 1 species